rnacentral:rRNA from 1 species
AUUGAACGCUGGCGGCAGGCCUAACACAUGCAAGUCGAGCGGAAGAAGUGAGCUUGCUCCUGGUGUCCGCGGCGGACGGGUGAGUAAUGCCCAGGAAUCUGCCUGGCAGUGCGGGAUAACAUCCGGAAUCGAGCGCUAAUACCACAUACGUCCUGAGGGUGAAACUGGGGGAUCUUCGGAUCUCACGCUAUCAGGUGAGCCUACGUGGGACUAGCUAGCUGGUGGGGUAAAUGCCUACUGAGGCGACGAUCCGUAACUGGUCUGAAAGGAUGAUCGAUCACGCACGAACUAAGACAGAGGCCAGAGUCCUACGGAAGAGAGCAGGGGGGAAUAGUGGACGAUGGGCGAAAGGCUGAUACAACCAUGCCGAGUGUGAGGAGAAGGUCUACAGAUAGUAAAGCAGUAUAAGUUGGGAGGAAGGGCAGUAAGUUAAUACCUUGCAAGUUUAACGUUACCGACAGAAUAAGCACCGGCUAACUUCGUG